AUGGCUGAGCAGUUUCCUCGUCUUUUCUCUAUUUGCAAUUAUCCUGAGUGCACUAUUGAUAAAUGCUUAAAUGUUGAUCCCUCCUCAUUCUUUAGGAGAAGGUUGAAUAGUGAGCUUAAUGACCAGUGGGUUGUUGUGAGUAAAUUGGCUAGAGAAGCAUGUGUUUCAGACGCUGCUGAUGUGAUCAAAUGGGGCUUGGGUGGGAAAACCUCUUUUACCACCAAAUCUGUUUAUUUGUUCCUGGAAAAGAAUGUUGCUGGAUGCGAUUAUAGAUGGAUCUGGAGUGCCAGAAUCCCUCUCAAAAUUCAAAUAUUCUUGUGGCAACUUUUUCAGGAUGCUGUCCUGACUAGGGAUGUGAUGAAACACCGAGGGUGGAAAGGGAACCCAAAGUGUUCUUUUUGCGGAGGGAGAGAAACCGCACAGCACCUGUUCUUUGCUUGCCCUGUUGCCAGGGUAACCUGGAGGAUAGUGGCAUGUAUGUUUGGCACUGCUUUGUGCCCUGAUAUUAUUUGGCAAGCUUAUUCAUGGUGUUAUACGUUCUUCCCUGGAGGGGAAAAGUUUUAUACGGCAGGGAUUGCUGCUAUGUGCUGGGUAAUCUGGUCGUGUCGUAACAGGGUUACUUUUGAGUUUAAACCGCUUACAAACCCAUUUGAAUGUAUAUUCUUUGUCUGUGCUUUAAUUUGCUACUGGGCAGGAAUGGUGAAGCAAGAGGAUGUAGUUACCAUGAGGGACGGGGCGAAGAUGCUGAAGGAGAAUGCAUCGAUGAUGAUGAGGAUCUGUGCUGCAAACCACAAAGAGGCGUCCCGUUGA
rnacentral:rRNA from 1 species